GACGAACGCUGGCGGCGUGCUUAACACAUGCAAGUCGAACGGAAAGGCCCUGCUUUUGCGGGGUGCUCGAGUGGCGAACGGGUGAGUAACACGUGAGUAACCUGCCCUUGACUUUGGGAUAACUUCAGGAAACUGGGGCUAAUACCGGAUAGGAGCUCCUGCUGCAUGGUGGGGGUUGGAAAGUUUCGGCGGUUGGGGAUGGACUCGCGGCUUAUCAGCUUGUUGGUGGGGUAAUGGCUUACCAAGGCUUUGACGGGUAGCCGGCCUGAGAGGGUGACCGGCCACAUUGGGACUGAGAUACGGCCCAGACUCCUACGGGAGGCAGCAGUGGGGAAUAUUGCACAAUGGGCGGAAGCCUGAUGCAGCAACGCCGCGUGCGGGAUGACGGCCUUCGGGUUGUAAACCGCUUUCGCCUGUGACGAAGCGUGAGUGACGGUAAUGGGUAAAGAAGCACCGGCUAACUACGUG
rnacentral:rRNA from 1 species